GCUUUAGAUUCCUGCAUUGCAAGGGUUGGACUAAAUGACCCUUGAUUUGCAUGUGUGCUUUUGAAAUCCCUGCAGAUCAUGCUUCUUCUGACUGAAAGCUUUCCUCAACUGUUAAUUCCCCCCUUUUUCUGUAGCAAGGAUGUAGAAGGCCACCAGUCUGCUUGAAGACCAGAUUUUGAGAACGCUCAUGCUUUGCAGGUCGUUGCCAAGUUUGAGGAAAGUUUCCUUCUUAUAGCAAAAGCUACGCUUCCCGUCCAGAUUUUCUGAAAACGAAGUAGAAACAUGUUGAUGGCGAUAAUACUGUUAUGUACGUGGUUUUUUUGUUUGUUGAAGGCUAGGGGGCAGUCUGUCUCCGUAAGUGAAACCAAAUUCAUUUUCUCGCACUUGCCGGCUCCUCUUCAGUCAGUUUCCCCUCUCUUGGGCCUUUCCCAUCGAAUGAAUGAAUGAAUGUUUGUGGCCAGUAUUUUGCGUUGAGGUUGCACAUUCUUACAAAGUCCCCACUUGAAAACUGGUUCCAUCAAAAGUUCAGAGUUUAGCCUGCUCUGCUUUUAGAGCCACUGAGAUAAUGUGAUUUGUGAUUUGUUAACCUUAUAAGUCACCGCAUGGCUUCUUAUCAAAUGUAUAGUUGGUGAUGAUUUCAUGACCUGGAAUGCGAUUCCCAGUCGUAAGGUAUAUUAUUGUCUUUACCUGCCUGCAUUGCCUGCCCUUUCUACAGGUUGCUGCUGAAGCAUACAUAGCAAGACGGAAAAGAAAUAGAUAAUCCUACAGAGAGACUCCACAGCUGCACAAUUUUUUGCUUUGUUUUCCAGCUGCUGUUAUAGUUCUGUCUUCUCUUCUGAUAAUCUCCAGACGGACACAAUGAUGGCUUCCUAGCCAGCCAGCUGCUCCAAAGGCAUAAGCCACAGGAACAGGUUUCGCGUGUUCUUGAUGUGCCAGAAUAAUCUCCAGCACAUGGAUCACGGGGCUACGUAAACGAUAGUUUGUAACGUGAAAGGCGGGGAGGAAUGAACUUCCAACUUGCCAGGAGAGGAAAAAGACACUAUUUUUAAAAGGUUCAGGUGUCUUUCUAGCAUUUUCCUGAGCAAUUUACAUUUCCGUUCCUUGUAAACGCAGGAAAGUUGCACGUUUGCCAAAACUCAGCAAUAAAGUCGACUAAACGCUCAUUAUGUUGUGGUAGUUUUAAAAUAGUCUUUUUUAAAAAAAAAAAAAAUUACUAAUGCACAACUUUCUUCUUCAAGACCGCACAAGAAGAUAUUUUUAAUGUGUUAAGAUAUUAGAAAAUUUCUUUCAUGGUUCCCAGUAUUCUACUUAGGGGUAGUAAUGCUUUGGACAGAUUGGUCUAAUGUUUUUCCCUUCCUGGCAUAUGCUUAGAUCAGCAGCUUGAAUGUGUAGUUUGCCCACAAUCUGGUGAACAGAAGCUCAAUGCAGGCAUGUUGAGUAGCCUUUCCAUUCCUUUCCUUGUCUUAUUUUUCUCUCCAGCGACUUCUCACAAUUCCUGAACAUCAUUAAUGUGUAUGGAGGCGCCAACUUCUCGGGAUGAUUGAGGGGCCCCUACACAGCAGUGGGUGAAGCCAAACACCUUCUGAACAUAGAGGGAUCCUGCCUCCAUCAAAUAAAAAAAACCUGGGGGGGGGGCAAAGUGUCUUGGCCCCCAGGAACUGGUGCCUAUGAACAUAUACCAUUGGUGGGGAACCGUUUUCAGCUCUUCUGGGCAAUUAUUUUGGGGGCUGCAUAUGGGCCGCGGAUGAUGAUUGCAAAGUCCGGGUCUGUUUAUGUGGGGAGAGGCGGUCUGUGACAUCUUGUGACAUCUUUGUCUCUAGAUGCCCAGAUGUCAUCUGUGGCUACAAGUGCCUUUCCCAGCUUGUCUAGACAAGCGAGAGAUAUUGUCGAAAUUCAAGGCUACGUAAAGACCCCAAAGGAAGUUGUGUCAGGGUGAGGGGUAUUAUUCCCAAUGGUCCCUUAUACCUCCACCUUUCUCCCUGUUUCCUCAUUUUAUCCUUUUAAUCUUUCCACAAUUUGUGUUCUUCUUUCCCUUUUCAAACACUAGUUCUGUAGGAUGAUGAUAACCUUCUGGUCGCUGGAAGAUGUAGUUAACCCUUCUCACUGGGAAGCUUAUCCCCUGAAUAUCUCACUGGGAUUGGUUGAGACAGUAAGUGGAAGGAAGAAAGGAAAAGAAAACUGUUGAGCAAGUGGCGGUUAGACUACUUGGAGCAUAAAUUCAUAACCAAUUUAUACCAGCUGCUAUUCAGAUUUUUCAAGCUAAAGUGUCAUCCCAGCUACUUUUUGGGAUCCCAGUAUGGAUACAAGCAUAUCAUGAUUUAGAUAAGAUACAAGAGAGUUUCUUGAGACGUAUCCUGGGGCUGCCAAGUUCAAUCAAGUGUGAGACGAUGUGAGGAAGCAAAAAAGUAGCUACAACCAGUCAUUGCGGCAGCAGCCAUAGCUUGUGACAUUGAAAUACUCGUUUCUGUGGUGGCUUGGUUUUUCCUUUGAACGUAACCAGCUCUGUUUCCCAUCUGUGUGCGAAGGAAGGAAUUUAUAGUGGGGAGGUUUGCUUGGCGCAGUUUAACCAAAGUUUGCAAUGCAGAAACACUCAUAGUUCCUGCAUGCUAGCUGAGGUCCCUUUCUCUGAUUUCAUUUGCUGGUAUUAAGACCUCUUUGUUUAAAGGAAAUGACUUGUGGCGAGGUAGAUCCCAGUGUGAGUAGCAUUCCUCAACUCAGCUAUGAAGAUCACUAGAUAGCUCUGGUCUUACUUUACAUAUAGACUGUGAGGCUAGGAUAUUAUACUUUGCUUCUGGCUGCAGGAUGGAAUGCAAAUGUUAUAAAUUCUCCUCUUGUUGUGAGUUAGGCCUCCAGUAGAAAAAAAAAUUGAAUUCUGAUUUUAAAAGAUGAACUUCCAUGUACAUACAUAAGGCAGCCUGUAGUGUCGUUCAUUAUUUGUUACAUUGCUAACUACUCAAAUACUCAUCUCGGCUGUGAGCCCUGGAAGAGCUGCUCCCUGCCUUGCAGGACCUUUUCCACCUGACCUGGAAGGGCAGGGCCCUGACUGACUCCAGCUACAAAAGCUGAGGCUGCUGAACAGACUGUUGGUAGGGGUAUAAACACUGGCAUACUAAGAGGGGUGUGGGGGGAGCGCACUUCCCCCGGCAGCACGAUCCUGGUGGGGUGCCAUUGCGGCUACCCCCUGCCCACACUGGGUGCCACACCCCCAGGACACGCACCAGCCCCGCCCCCACCUGCUCUCCACCCCCAGGUGCUGUAGAAUGAGCUCUGCCACUGGGUAUAAAUAGUAAAAUUAUUGGUAUUAUUAUUGAAUAUGCAGGACCUUUUCUGCCUGGCCUGGAAGGGUAGGGCCCUGACUGACUCCAGCUACAAAAGCUGAGGCUGCUGAACAGACUGUUGGGGUGGGGUAUAAACAGUAAAAUUAUUAUAAUUUUUUUAUUAUUAUUGAAUAAAGGUAAAGGGACCCAUGACCAUUAGGUCCAGUCGUGACCGACUCUGGGGUUGCGACGCUCAUCUUGCUUUAUUGGCCAAGGGAGCUGGCGUACAGCUUCCGGGUCAUGUGGCCAGCAUGACUAAGCCGCUUCUGGCGAACCAGAACAGCGCACGGGAACACCAUUUACCUUCCUGCCGGAGCGGUACCUAUUUAUCUACUUGCACUUUGACGUGCUUUCGAACUGCUAGGUUGGCAGGAGCAGGGACCGAGCAACGGGAGCUCACCCCGUCGCAGGGAUUCGAACUGCCAACCUUCUGAUUGGCAAACCCUAGGCUCUGUGGUUUAACCCACAGUGCCACCCACGUCCCUAUUAUUGAAUAGGAUGUCCCUAUUUUCAUCAGAGAAAAGUUUGGGGGGUAUGCAUUCUUAGGACACUGAAUGAGGUUCAUUGCUUGUCUCUCUUGGCUAAGCACUGGGAUAAGUAGUGUCUAGGCUCUGUUGUGCCCCAGCUACUAGUUUGGUGGGUUCUGUUUUUUUAUUUAUUAAGAUAAUACCUUUUAAGAGGGUGCUCUGGCUAGAGACCAAUUGGGGUGGAGGAAUGAGAUGAGGAAACAUCUUCUGCAUUGGCUUAGCCAAUAUCUAAAGCUGUCGUUCCUCUCACAGUAUGCAGAGACGGCUCCAGGCUUUAGGCCGUGUGUAAGUUGGUGGCCAUAACAGAAGUAUAUAAAAAACACGAAAAAAUUUAAAGACGGUUAUUACUUUCUUUUGCAUGGAAGGCUACUCUGUUUUAUGUGCAGAAGAAUGCUAGUGCUCCUUUAUUCAACUGGUUGAGAUUGAAGGAACCAGCUCUCGGGGCAGUUCUGGUUUAUAUUACCAGUGGGAGUCUGUUUCUUUAAAAAAAUAAAUGGAUGAAAUCUCUGAUCUGUAAUUUUUCUAUCAAAAUUAUACCUGCCGUUUAGUGGAGCUGUGCACACGAUUCUCUCUUUCUUUCUCUCCUGUGGCCAGGACCACAAUACUGUGCUGGAUUCAGUGUGACUUGACUUUUGAAUAGACAGGUUUAGGCUAAAGAAAUCCUUUCCGGCUAGGGUUGCCAUAUUUUGAAGAGCAAAAAAGAGGACGCCAUGACUCUCAUUUUAAAUAUCUCAACUUAUAUGUAGGCUGUAGAAGUUGUGAUAUAUUGCUGAGGGGACGGGGCAGGAGAAAAGGAGAGGAAGGCAAGUCUUCAACCACCAGUUAUGUCUAUGUCUCAUCUAGAAAGUAUAGCCAGAGAAAUUUUAAAAAUCUGCCCUGAUGGAAAUUUUACCCCUGAAAAAGAGGACGUGUCCUGGAAAAAGAGGACACAUGGCAGCCGUAUUUCCAGCUCAAUCAAGCAUCGUAAUAACUGAAUCCUCUGGAGUGCUGUAAGAUUUACUGGCCAGUUCUUUCUAUUGCUGUACCAUUUGUAUAUCCGUAGAGGGACUGGAUUAAGCAAAAGGUGAAUUGUUUAAACAAGUUAUAGUCCAGUAACUCUUAGGCUAGUGUGUUUUUCUUUGUCUGCAUUCUCUUCUUUCUUCCCUCCACCCCCUUUCUUCCUCAAGUGCCAUUACAUAAACUGUCACAGUCCCGUAAAAAGAUGCAUAACCCAAUUAUUACGAUCUUCAUCAUGCAUUUUAUUCCUUUCUUCACAACGGAGGGCAAAUGCAUUGGCUUUGAUGAAGUAUAUGCCCAACUGGCAUUCAUUCCUUGUUGUUCUGCUUUGACACAUCGCGGCGUUGGCAUUCGAGGUCCUGCGGUGUGCACCUUCCCGGAGAAGUUUAAAAUCGGUGUUCUAUACUUACUAAAUUUUGGGAGAAAGUUCUGGAUUGUAUAACUAUGACUGUUAAAAAAAAACAACUAAAAGCAGAGAAUAUUCUUCCGAACUAUAUACCUACUAUAUGGAAGUUAACAACCGGACAACAAAAAUGGAUUAUAUGAACUGUAAUGGUAGCCAAGAGGCUGAUAUUGAUGAACUGGAAGAGUGAAGAUUUGAUCUCCUUUAAUCGGUGGAUUGAUAAUAUGAUAACACUUGCAACCUACAAACGGACUGCUUAUAGACGUAGACUCUGCUUGGAUAAAUACGACAAUAUUUGGAACGGAUUUAUACAAAACGUAGACUAUUAAUAUUUCUAUUAGUACAGUGGACCCUCAGGUUACGUUACCUUUGGGUAAUGUAACUUUCGUGUUGCGAAAGCGGCAAACCUGGAAGUGUAUUCUUCCGGGUUUCGCCUUGCCUGCAUGCGCAGAAGUGCUCUGCGCACCUCGUGCAUGCACAAAAGCGCUCUAUUGUGCCGUGCGCAGAAGCGGCGCCUCUACUUGCAGAUUUUUUGGGGGUACGUACGGACCGCUGGAACGAAUUACAUUGAUAUCCAGUGUCCACUGUAUUAGGAUAACAAUAUCAAAUUUAUCAAAGAAUGUAUGGGUUUGGGUGUUUUUGGUAUGUAUUCAAAUAAUGUUCCUCCCCUUUACACAGUUCUUUGUUUUGUGCUUUUUUCUUCUUUUUGUAUCACUUUACUGCUUUAUAUUUGAAUUUCCCCCCAAUAAAAUGUCAGUUAAUAG